UGCUCAUGCAGCCACUCAGCUUUGAGAUCUGUUUUAACUAAACCAUCUGAUAUUUUUUCCUCUCCUUUUUUACUUUUUUUUUCCAGCUAAGCGAAUAAGAGCUCUCCCAGCUUUGGGUCUGCCAGCUGAAAUGUGAAGGUGACAUGGAGCAGAGGGGUGAUGAACAGCCCAACAAACCAGGGGUGAAGGCAGCAUCUUUCCCAGCACGGCCCUUCCCAUAAUAGGCUUCUGGGAGGAAGAUAAAGGCGCUUCCAGAGUGAAACAACGAAUAUUAACUCAAGAAAUGUGCAUUGUUUUUAAUUUCCUGUGGAAAAGCUUCAGACAUCUAACCUCAAGACAGAAGGAAAUGCAUCAUGUGUUAAUCAGACAGAACAAGGAAUAGGAAAACAGGAGCUGGGAUGCAAACAUUUCACAAAUCUCAGUGAUGUGGUAAGUGAAUUUUGCAUAUAUUUGUAGCUAAUUAUCUUGCUUCUGAAUUACUGUGAAUGGUGUUUUUGGAGCCACUGUGACACCAGGGUUUCAGGGUGCUCCCAGGGAACACAAGAACGUUUCUUGGAGGAGGCUGGCAGAUCCACAA
rnacentral:lncRNA from 1 species